AUUGAACGCUGGCGGCAUGCCUUACACAUGCAAGUCGAACGGUAACAGGUCUUCGGAUGCUGACGAGUGGCGAACGGGUGAGUAAUACAUCGGAACGUGCCCGAGAGUGGGGGAUAACGAGGCGAAAGCUUUGCUAAUACCGCAUACGAUCUCAGGAUGAAAGCAGGGGACCGCAAGGCCUUGCGCUCACGGAGCGGCCGAUGGCAGAUUAGGUAGUUGGUGGGAUAAAAGCUUACCAAGCCGACGAUCUGUAGCUGGUCUGAGAGGACGACCGGCCACACUGGGACUGAGACACGGCCCAGACUCCUACGGGAGGCAGCAGUGGGGAAUUGUGGACAAUGGGCGCAAGCCUGAUCCAGCCAUGCCGCGUGCAGGAUGAAGGCCUUCGGGUUGUAAACUGCUUUUGUACGGAACGAAAAGACUCUGGUUAAUACCUGGGGUCCAUGACGGUACCGUAAGAAUAAGCACCGGCUAACUACGUGCCAGCAGCCGCGGUAAUAC
rnacentral:rRNA from 1 species